UACGUAGGGUGCAAGCGUUGUCCGGAAUUAUUGGGCGUAAAGCGCGCGCAGGCGGCCUUUUAAAUCUGAUGUGAAAGCCCACGGCUCAACCGUGGAAGGUCAUUGGAAACUGAAAGGCUUGAGUACAGAAGAGGAAAGCGGAAUUCCACGUGUAGCGGUGAAAUGCGUAGAGAUGUGGAGGAACACCAGUGGCGAAGGCGAGUCCCUGGACACUUCCUGACACUGAGGCACGAAAGCUAGGGGAGCAAACAGG
rnacentral:rRNA from 1 species